rnacentral:ncRNA from 1 species
GACGGAUCCCCGACCGGAUCCCCGGACGACGGAUCAGUACCCGGUACGCGACAAGACUGGCCAGG